rnacentral:rRNA from 1 species
CCUACGGGGCGCAGCAGUGAGGAAUAUUGGUCAAUGGACGAGAGUCUGAACCAGCCAAGUAGCGUGAAGGAUGACUGCCCUAUGGGUUGUAAACUUCUUUUAUAUGGGAAUAAAAUGUUCCACGUGUGGGAUUUUGUAUGUACCAUAUGAAUAAGGAUCGGCUAACUCCGUGCCAGCAGCCGCGGUAAUACGGAGAAUCCGAGCGUUAUCCGGAUUUAUUGGGUUUAAAGGGAGCGUAGGUGGAUUGUUAAGUCAGUUGUGAAAGUUUGCGGCUCAACCGUAAAAUUGCAGUUGAAACUGGCAGUCUUGAGUACAGUAGAGGUGGGCGGAAUUCGUGGUGUAGCGGUGAAAUGCUUAGAUAUCACGAAGAACUCCGAUUGCGAAGGCAGUUCACUGGACUGCAACUGACACUGAGGCUCGAUAGUGUGGGUAUCAAACAGGAUUAGAUACCCCAGUAGUC